GCAGCACGGCGGCCGCCAUGAAGGGCGCAACCUACCUCUGCGCGGCGCUCCUCCUAUUCGCCUCAGUGCAGGCAAACCGGGAGUGCACGGCUGGCGAAACUAAGCGGGAAAGCUGCAAAGUGUGCACGUGUUCCGCGACUGGAGUGUGGGUCUGUCCAGACAAGUACUGCGUACCGGGAACUACGUACAUGGACAACUGUAACGUGUGCCGGUGUGGAGACGACGGCAUAUCGGCAGCCUGUACGCUCAAGGGCUGCGGUGGAAAUUAAAAUCCAGGUAUUGUCCACGAGCUCACCUUGCUGUUGGAGAAGGGGUCAGCUGCAAUACGACGCCCUCCAUCUACCUGCGAUGUACUUCUAGGACAUGACGCGCUUCCAGUGAAUACUGUCUGUACCAUUGCU